rnacentral:lncRNA from 1 species
AAAUAUCCGGAGACAUAGACCACCGCUGGGAACAGGAAAAGUCUCAGCUGGGGAACAUGCAGGGAUAUCAAUAAGAUUUGUCAUAGAAGAACUCUACUAGGGGUUUAUUCAGGGGAUGAUGUGAGAUUCCGUGGGGAACAACCACCAAACAGAUACACAUCAAUCAAACACCCCCUUCUAACUACUGGAGAAACAUCUUUGCUGAGGGGAGAGAGAACCAUUG